AUUGAACGCUGGCUGCAGGCCUAACACAUGCAAGUCGAACGAGUGGCGGACGGGUGCGUAAUGUCUGGGAAACUGCCUGAUGGAGGGGGAUAACUACUUGACACGGUAUCUAAUACCGCAUACCAUCAACUGUUCCCAGAUGGGAUUAGCUUGUUGGUUGGGUAACGGCUCACCAAGGCGACUAUCCCUAGCUGGUCUGAGAGGAUGACAAGGCCCACGGGAACUGAAACACGGUCCAGACUCCUACGGGAGGCAGCAGUGGGGAAUAUUGCACAAGGGGAGGAAGCCUGAUGUAGCCAUGCCGCGUGUAUGAAGAAGGCAUGCGGGUUGUAAAGUACUUUCAGCGGGGAGGCGUUACCAGAAGAAGAAGCACCGGCUAACUCCGUGCCAGCAGCCGCGGUAAUUC
rnacentral:rRNA from 1 species